rnacentral:snRNA from 1 species
AUCGCUUCUCGGCCUUUUGGCUAAGAUCAAGUGUAGAAACAAAAAUCUGAAAGCUGGAGCAAUUCAUUUUUUUAAUUUUCUCUACUCCUC